rnacentral:rRNA from 1 species
GAUGAACGCUGGCGGCGUGCUUAACACAUGCAAGUCGAACGGUGAAGGCGGAGCUUGCUCUGCUGGAUCAGUGGCGAACGGGUGAGUAACACGUGAGCAAUCUGCCCCUGACUCUGGGAUAAGCGCUGGAAACGGCGUCUAAUACUGGAUACGAGCUGCGAAGGCAUCUUCAGCAGCUGGAAAGAACUUCGGUCAGGGAUGAGCUCGCGGCCUAUCAGCUUGUUGGUGAGGUAACGGCUCACCAAGGCGUCGACGGGUAGCCGGCCUGAGAGGGUGACCGGCCACACUGGGACUGAGAGACGGACCAGACUCCUACGGGAGGCAGCAGUGGGGAAUAUUGCACAAUGGGCGAAAGCCUGAUGCAGCAACGCCGCGUGAGGGACGACGGCCUUCGGGUUGUAAACCUCUUUUAGCAGGGAAGAAGCGAAAGUGACGGUACCUGCAGAGAAAGCGCCGGCUAACUACGUG